rnacentral:rRNA from 1 species
GAUUAACGCUGGCGGCAUGCCUAAUACAUGCAAAUCGAACGAAGCACUUGUGCUUAGUGGUGAACGGGUGAGUAACACGUGAGCAACCUGCCCCUGACUCUGGGAUAAGCGCUGGAAACGGUGUCUAAUACUGGAUAUGUACCACGAUCGCAUGGUCUGUGGUUGGAAAGAUUUUUCGGUUGGGGAUGGGCUCGCGGCCUAUCAGCUUGUUGGUGAGGUAAUGGCUCACCAAGGCGUCGACGGGUAGCCGGCCUGAGAGGGUGACCGGCCACACUGGGACUGAGACACGGCCCAGACUCCUACGGGAGGCAGCAGUGGGGAAUAUUGCACAAUGGGCGCAAGCCUGAUGCAGCAACGCCGCGUGAGGGAUGACGGCCUUCGGGUUGUAAACCUCUUUUAGCAGGGAAGAAGCGAGAGUGACGGUACCUGCAGAAAAAGCGCCGGCUAACUACGUGCCAGCAGCCGCAGUAACAC